GGUAAAAAAGCUCGCAGUUGGAUUUCUGUCGAGGACGGCCGGUCCAUACAAUGUAUGUGCAUCUGGCUCGGCUUCGGCAUCCUCUCGAUACACGUUUCUGUGCUUGAUUGCAUGGAGCGGGGCUCGGGACUUUUACUUUGAGGAAAUUAGAGUGUUCACGGCAGGCUAUCGCCAGAAUACAUUAGCAUGGAAUAAUACUAUAGGAUCUCGGUUCUAUUUUGUUGGUUUCUAGAAUUGGGAUAAUGAUUAAUAGGGACAAUUGGGGGCAUUCGUAUCAAGGCGUCAGAGGUGGAAUUCUUGGAUUGCCUUGCGACGAACUACUGCGAAAGCAUUUGCCAAGGAUGUUUUCAUUGAUCAAGAACGAAAGUAAGGGGAUCGAAGACGAUUAGAUACCGUCGUAGUCUUUACCACAAACUAUGCCGACUAGAGAUGGGACAUCGUUCUUUUACGACUUGUUCCGCACCUUAUGAGAUAUCAAAGUUUUUGGGUUCCGGGGGGAGUAUGAUCGCGAGAUUGGAACUUAAAGGAAUUGACGGAAGGGCACCACCAGGAGUGGAACCUU
rnacentral:rRNA from 1 species